rnacentral:rRNA from 1 species
UACAGAGGGGGCAAGCGUUAUUCGGAAUUAUUGGGCGUAAAGCGCACGUAGGCGGCUUUUUAAGUCAGGGGUGAAAUCCUGGAGCUCAACUCCAGAACUGCCUUUGAUACUGAGAAGCUUGAGUCCGGGAGAGGUGAGUGGAACUGCGAGUGUAGAGGUGAAAUUCGUAGAUAUUCGCAAGAACACCAGUGGCGAAGGCGGCUCACUGGCCCGGUACUGACGCUGAGGUGCGAAAGCGUGGGGAGCGAACAGG